AAUUAUGUAUGGGUGGGCACUUGGUAGACAAUGGUAAUUAAUAAAGGUAAUUUGGGUUGGGAUUAAGUGUUACCCAUUUAAUAUGGGGUAGACAAUGGUAUUUAAUAUUGGUAAUUAAGAAGAGGUGUGUAUGUGUAUGGGUGGAUAAAUACGGGGUAACCAAGAAGAGGUGUAUAUGUGUAUGAAGUUCUAUAAACUAAAUAAUUAUUAAUAUUGCUUAAAAUAAAU
rnacentral:lncRNA from 1 species